CUGCGCAUGGACGGAGUCUGGAGCAUCUCAAACAGGAACUGGAACAAACGCACCUUCCUCUUACCUGCUGAGGGUUAAAGCAAACAGGACUGAUGAAGAGUUCUGCUGAAGCGAAUGCUCCUGAAGAUACUCCUCGAUGACCUCCAGAUCCACGUCUGGACAUGUAGAGGGCGCUGCUGCGUUCCAGGUUCCGUGACCUCCGGGUAUCCUGACCUCAGUUACGAAGGCCAUCUGAUUUAGCAUCAUCAGAUAAUCAUAAAAAAAAAAAAAAAAAAAA